CAAAAAAGGGGUAAUUUUUUUUUUUCCUUUUUUUUUUUGUUUAAAAUUUACAUUUUAAGUUAGUUAUUUUUUAUCACGAAGAGAAAGUAGGUGGGGGGUGGUUAUGGCUCUAAUGUUUAAGGAAUAAGGGGAAAAAAGGUUAAAAAACAAGGGUUUCCAUUUUAAUAGACAAAUAAUUGAGUAAAGAACAUUAUUUAAAAGCAGUGUUAGGUUGGUAAUUCAAACUCAUUUAAAUAUCUCAUCUACACUGCUUUUAAAUUAUGUAAAUUGGAAAUUUGCCAAUAACUUUAUUGUUAAUAAAUGCAUUGGAAAUUUGCCAACAAUUUUAGUGUAAUAAACUUCAUUGGAAAUUUGCCAAUAUAAAAUUUUGCUGAUGAAGGUUUUUUGUUUACCUUUAGCCUUGACUAUGAAGUCAUUUUCUAUUUUUAUAGCCUUAUGAUGUAGUUGAAUUAUUUAAUACUUUUAUGAUGUGUUUAAAUGGGGUUUUAUCAUGUUUAUGGUUGCAAAUUUAUUGUUUUAGUAUAAUAAACUCCAUUUAAAAUUUGCCAAUAAAAAAAAUUUUUGUUUAUUUUUAGCUAUAAUUAUGAUGUCAUUUUCUAUUUUACUUUUAUGGUUGCAAAGAAAUUUUUAUUUUUAGAUAUUACUGUUAAAUGAUGCUGAUUAAGGUUUUUGCUAUGUUUAGCCAUGACUAUGAUGUCAUUUUCUAUUUUAAUAUCUGUUAUGAUGUAUUUAAAUGGGCUUUUAUGGUUACAAAGGAAUUUUAUUUUUAGAUAUUACUAUAAAAUGUUGCUGAUGCUGAUUAAGGAUUUUGUUUAUUUUUAGCCAUGACUAUGAUGUCAUUUUCUAUUUUAAUACCUUUAUGAUGUAAUUUCCAUUUUUAGAUAUUACUGUUAAAUGAUGCUGAUUAAGGGUUUUUUGCUAUGUUUAGCCAUGACUAUGAUGUCAUUUUCUAUUUUAAUAUCUUUAUGAUGUAUUUAAAUGGGCUUUUAUGGUUACAAAGGAAUUUUAUUUUUAGAUAUUACUUUAAAUGUUGCUGAUUAAGGAUUUUUGUUUAUUUUUAGCCAUGACUAUGAUGUCACUUUCUAUUUUAAUACCUUUAUGAUGUAUUUAAAUGGGCUCCCAUGUAUUUAGAUUUUUGAUUAUUUAUACAUGUUACCAAAUUGGUCCACAUUGAACAAAAACGGUCCAAAUUUCAACUUUAUUACAUUACAUCAAACAUUGAAUUCUACAUAUUCUUUGAUAUAUUGAAAUUAACAAACAAUUUAGUUUAUGGAUAUUCCACCAUAAUAGGUAAAUUAAAUUUUUUCCAGUUCUUACACCACAUUCAUCCUGUGUCAGAAACCUAUGCUGUGUCAAAUAUUUAAUGACAAUCCAAAGUCAUAGCUGUAUCAAGCUUGAAUUUUGUGUCCAUACUUGCCCCAACUGUUCAGGGUUCGACCUCUGCGGUCGUAUCAAGCUGCGCCCCAGCGAAGCAUUUUAUUGUAACUUCCAGACAUAACUUGUGUGUAAGUGUAUGGAUCUCUCUGACAUUGUACCACAAGGUUCCAUAUCACAAAGGGAAUGCUGGGAUUGAUUUUGGGGGGUAAUUGUCUCCAAAUUUUAGGAAUUAGGGGCCAAAAAGGGGCAAAAAACAAGCAUUUUUCUAGUUUCAUGACAAUAACUUGUGUGUAAGUGUAUGGAUCUCUCUGACAUUGUAUCACAAGGUUCCAUAUCACAAAGGGAAUGCUGGGAUUGAUUUUGGGGAUAAUUGCCUCCAAAUUUUAGGAAUUGGGGGCCAAAAAGGGGCAAAAAACAAGCAUUUUUCUAGUUUCAUGACAAUAUCUUGUUUGUAAGUGUAUGGAUCUUUAUGAAAUUGUACUACAAGGUUCCAUAUCACAAAGGGAAUACUGGGAUUGAUUUUUGGGGUAAUUUCCUCCAAAUUUUAGGAAUUAGGGGCCAAAAAGGGGCCAAAAACAAGCAUUUUUCUAGUUUCAUGACAAUAACUUGUUUGUAAGUGUAUGGAUCUUUAUGAAAUUGUACUACAAGGUUCCAUAUCACAAAGGGAAGGCUGGGAUUGAUUUUGGGGGUUUUCCCUCAAAAUUUUAGUAAUUAGGGGCCAUAAAAGGGCAAAAAAAACAUGCAUUUUUCUAGUUUCAGGACAAUAACUUGUGUGUAAGUGUAUGGAUCUUUAUGAAAUUGUACUGCAAGGUUCCAUAUCACAAAGGGAAAGCUGAAAUUGAGUUUGGGGGUAAUUGCCCUAAACGUUUAGGAAUUUGGGGCCAAAAAGGGGCCAAAAAACAAGCAUUUUUCUAGUUUCCAGACAAUAACUUGUGUUCAAGUGUAUGAAUCUCUCUGAAAUUGUACUGCAAGGUACCAUACCACAAAGUGAAAGCUGGGAUUGAGUUUGGGGGUGAUGAAUCAUAAGGGGGUUCAAAAAAUUGGGGGGGGGAUUUUUUUUUUCCUUUUUUUUCUUUAACAUUUUCCAUUUUAAAUUGGUUAUUUCUGAUUUAUAUAUAAAAGCAAAUAAUAAUGAUAUGGUUUGAAUAGGCAUACAUGUGAACCUCCCGACGGGAGUACAAUAAUCCCGUUUUCAGGGGUCUCCUCCCGACCUCCCGUUGAAGAGGAAAAAAUCCCGUGUAUGAAAUUUUUCAUGAAUGAAAAAUUUCUGCCCAACAUAUCAUCUCAGGCAUCUGGUGUAACUGACAUUACCUGAAGUUAUAUUUUACCUGUAAAUCAAUUAACAUGCAUAAUUAUAUGGCUUCACUUGUCAGCUUGGGUGUCAAACAUACAGGUAAUCAACGAUUUUUACCUCAGGCUAACUGCCGUUGUGUAACAAAAACUGUGUAUUUAUUGGGUUACUUCCCUUGAUUUAUCCUGUUUGAAGUUACUUUCCUUUUAAUAAUGAAAAUUUUUAAAAGAAUAUAAAUAAAAUAUAAAUUGAACAAAUAAUCAUAAAAGGAUGGUUAUUAAAUGAUUUUAAAUGUCUUAGGACAAAUAAAAAAAUAAUAAUUUGAAAAUUAUUUGAGGAUUCUAGACUUCCUUUCAAGGCUUAAAUUGAAAUUUAUAUAAUAACUAUGACCCUAAUUUUACAGAUAAAAUGAUUUUCUGAGUUUGCAAAUAAAAACUAU